AGACUCAGAGGGCAACCUAUCUGAAAGGAUAUGGGCGCAAAGCUAUAGGGGCUAAAGUAGCAAUCUACUACGCCAGCCAGUUGCGAAA
rnacentral:ncRNA from 1 species